rnacentral:tRNA from 1 species
GUGGAUAUAGCUCAGUUGGUAGAGUGCUUGCUUUGCAUGCACAAGGCCCUGGUUCAAUACCCAGUACCACA